AGAGGUUGAUCCUGGCUCAGAAUUAACGCUGGCGGCGCGUCUUAAGCAUGCAAGUCGAACGAGCGAAAUCCCUUCGGGGAUUAGCUAGUGGCGAACGGGUGAGUAACACGUAGGUAAUCUACCCUUCAGUUGGGGACAGCCCCUGGAAACAGGGAUUAAUACCGAGUACGUUCUUUAGUACACAAGUAUUUAAGAAGAAAGAUGCAAAUCACUGAAGGAUGAGCCUGCGCCCCAUUAGUUAGUUGGUAAGGUAAUGGCUUACCAAGACCGCGAUGGGUAGCCGGCCUGAGAGGGUGAACGGCCACAUUGGAACUGAGAAACGGUCCAGACUCCUACGGGAGGCAGCAGCUAAGAAUCUUCCGCAAUGGGCGAAAGCCUGACGGAGCGACGCCGCGUGGAGGAAGAAGGCGUUAUGCGUUGUAAACUCCUUUUACAGGGGAAGAUAAUGACUGUACCCUGUGAAUAAGCAUAGGCUAAUUACGUGCCAGCAGCCGCGGUAAUACGUAAUAUGCAAGCGUUAUUCGGAAUUACUGGGCGUAAAGGGUGCGUAGGCGGUUAAAUAAGUCGGAUGUGAAAUCCCACGGCUCAACCGUGGAAUUGCGUUCGAAACUGUUUGACUAGAGUUCGGAAGGGGAAGGCGGAAUUCCUGGUGUAGGAGUGAAAUCUAUAGAUAUCAGGAGGAACACCGGUGGCGAAGGCGGCCUUCUGGUCUAGAACUGACGCUGAGGCACGAAAGCGUGGGGAGCGAACGGGAUUAGAUACCCCGGUAGUCCACGCCGUAAACGUUGUACACUAGGUGUUAGUGGUAUCGAUCCCACUAGUGCCGCAGUUAACGCAUUAAGUGUACCGCCUGGGGAGUAUGCCCGCAAGGGUGAAACUCAAAGGAAUUGACGGGGGCCCGCACAAGUGGUGGAGCAUGUGGUUUAAUUCGAUGAUACGCGAGGAACCUUACCUGGACUUGACAUAUACUGGAAUGUAUGGGAAACUAUGCAGCUCUUCGGAGUCAGUAUACAGGUGGUGCAUGGUUGUCGUCAGCUCGUGCCGUGAGGUGUUGGGUUAAGUCCCGCAACGAGCGCAACCCCUAUUAAUUGUUGCUAACAGGUAAUGCUGAGCACUCGAUUGAAACUGCCGUUAAAAAACGGAGGAAGGUGGGGAUGACGUCAAAUCAGCAUGCUCCUUAUGUCCAGGGCUACACACGUGCUACAAUGGUCGGUACAAAGGGCAGCAAGACCGCGAGGUGGAGCAAAUCCCAAAAAACCGAUCUCAGUUCGGAUUGCAGUCUGAAACUCGACUGUAUGAAGCUGGAAUCACUAGUAAUCGCUGAUCAGCAACGCAGCGGUGAAUGCGUUCCCGGGCCUUGUACACACCGCCCGUCACACCACCCGAAUUGAGUAUACCCGAAGUCGCUGAGCUAACCGUAAGGAAGCAGGUGCCGAAGGUGUAUUUAGUAAGGGGGGUGAAGUCGUAACAAGGUA
rnacentral:rRNA from 1 species